UUCAUUGCAGUGGCUAUGUUGACCAGUGGGCAGAGUAUCCUUGAUAUGUUCCCUCAAAAGGGUUAGCUGAGUUAUGGAAAAAUGGGGGAGUGGCGAUUCUAUAAGAGACCUUCAGAGGGCUCCACUAAGUGUCCAUGAAAGUGUGGUAUGAUUAACGUUCUCUCUAAGCCAGUUAAACUCAUCACUUUGAAAUACUAGUUUCUCCAUGAUUUAUUUUAUGCAGCUCAACCCAUAAAAAGAUGAUUAUUCAUUGUUGAAGCUGCAUUAUAGUAAAUAUAAAGAGAAAGCUCUGAUUUUGUAAA